AUUGAACGCUGGCGGCAGGCUUAACACAUGCAAGUCGGGCGGAGUGAUGGUGCUUGCACUAUCACUUAGCGGCGGACGGGUGAGUAAUGCUUAGGAAUCUGCCUAUUAGUGGGGGACAACAUCUCGAAAGGGAUGCUAAUACCGCAUACGUCCUACGGGAGAAAGCAGGGGAUCACUUGUGACCUUGCGCUAAUAGAUGAGCCUAAGUCGGAUUAGCUAGUUGGUGGGGUAAAGGCCUACCAAGGCGACGAUCUGUAGCGGGUCUGAGAGGAUGAUCCGCCACACUGGGACUGAGACACGGCCCAGACUCCUACGGGAGGCAGCAGUGGGGAAUAUUGGACAAUGGGGGGAACCCUGAUCCAGCCAUGCCGCGUGUGUGAAGAAGGCCUUAUGGUUGUAAAGCACUUUAAGCGAGGAGGAGGCUCUUUUGGUUAAUACCCAAGAUGAGUGACGUUACUCGCAGAAUAAGCACCGGCUAACUCUGUGCCAGCCGCCGCGGUAA
rnacentral:rRNA from 1 species